GGGGUUGUAGCUCAGCGGCAGAGUGCUUGCUUUGCAUGUAUGAGGCACUGGGUUCAAUCCUCAGCACCACA
rnacentral:tRNA from 1 species